CGCAAGCCUGACGGAGCAAGACCGCGUGCGGGAUGACGGCCUAAUGGUUGCAAACCGCUUUUCUCUGGGAAGAUGAUGACGGUACCAGAGGAAUCAGCCUCGGCUAACUCCGUGCCAGCAGCCGCGGUAAUACGGAGGAGGCAAGCGUUAUCCGGAAUUAUUGGGCGUAAAGCGUCCGUAGGUGGUUAUUCAAGUCUGCUGUCAAAGCGUGGGGCUUAACUCCAUAGAGGCAGUGGAAACUGGAUGACUUGAGUGCGGUAGGGGUCGAGGGAAUUCCCAGUGUAGCGGUGAAAUGCGUAGAUAUUGGGAAGAACACCAGUGGCGAAAGCGCUCGACUGGGCCUGCACUGACACUGAGGGACGAAAGCUAGGGGAGCG
rnacentral:rRNA from 1 species